GGGUCAUAGCUCCAUGGUAGAGCAUCUGCCUUGGAUACAAAAGUUCCCAAGUUCAAUCCCUGGCAUCUCCA